rnacentral:rRNA from 1 species
UACGUAGGGUGCAAGCGUUGUCCGGAAUUAUUGGGCGUAAAGAGCUCGUAGGCGGUUUGUCGCGUCGAAUGUGAAAACCCGGGGCUCAACUCCGGGCCUGCAUUCGAUACGGGCAGACUAGAGUUCGGUAGGGGAGACUGGAAUUCCUGGUGUAGCGGUGAAAUGCGCAGAUAUCAGGAGGAACACCGAUGGCGAAGGCAGGUCUCUGGGCUGACACUGACGCUCAUGCACGAAAGCGUGGGGAGCAAACAGG